UUGACCAAUAUAGUGUGACGGAAGUGAUGGCCUGAUUUUCAGAUGCUAGGUCAUAGGAUUUCUUACACUUUUCACUGGAUCUUUUUGGAAGCUCCUUUUUAGAAUGCUCUCUCUAAAAUUCCAGCUAGCUCACAAUAUAAAACCUAAGCUACACGAAGGGGUCACGUAUAGGGUGCCUCAGUGGAAAGCUCCAGCUGAGCUCCCAGCUGACAGCCAGCAUCAGCUACCAGCCAUGGCUGGACUGGAGAAACAUCAAGUCCAGUCAAGAUUUGAGAUGACCAUAGUCCCAGCCAACGUUUGACUGCAAUUUUACAAGAGUUCCCAAGCAAGAACUUCUCAAGUUCAGCACUCCUGUUGAAUUCGACUGGAUUCUGGAAAGAUAUUUGGACUCACUAUCAUAACAGAAGAGUGAUAAUAAAUAUAAAUACCUGAACCUGAAUCUCAACUUUGCUAUUCUUUAUGUAUGUGAUUUUUGACACAUUAUUUCCUGCCUAGGGGUGAAUACAUUUGGUGUACAUACGUUCAGAUAUGAAUAUACAGAUGCAUAUACAUUUUCAAUAUACCAGCUUUAAUGGAGAAGAACAAAGGAUAUUCAUUAAUUGGAGCUACAAAAAUCUCUUCAAGGACUUCCAUUUGCAUCAGAAUAAAGUCUAUCUUUCUUAGUCUGGCAUUCAAGGCCUUCUGAA